UACGAAGGGGGCUAGCGUUGUUCGGAAUUACUGGGCGUAAAGCGCACGUAGGCGGAUACUUAAGUCAGGGGUGAAAUCCCGGGGCUCAACCCCGGAACUGCCUUUGAUACUGGGUAUCUCGAGUCCGGAAGAGGUGAGUGGAAUUCCGAGUGUAGAGGUGAAAUUCGUAGAUAUUCGGAAGAACACCAGUGGCGAAGGCGGCUCACUGGCCCGGUACUGACGCUGAGGUGCGAAAGCGUGGGGAGCAAACAGG
rnacentral:rRNA from 1 species